AACGCUGGCGGCACGCUUAACACAUGCAAGUCGAACGGUGAAAUGGUGCUUGCACCAUGGAUCAGUGGCGGACGGGUGAGUAACACGUGAGCAAUCUGCCUUCGGGUGGGGGAUACCAGUUGGAAACGACUGUUAAUACCGCAUAAUAUAAUCGAACCGCAUGAUUUGAUUAUCAAAGAUUUAUUGCCUGAAGAUGAGCUCGCGUCUGAUUAGCUGGUUUGGUAAGGUAACGUUCCACCAAGGCGACGAUCAGUAGCCGGCCUGAGAGGGUGAACGGCCACAUUGGGACUGAGACACGGCCCAAACUCCUACGGGAGGCAGCAGUGGGGAAUAUUGCACAAUGGGGGAAACCCUGAUGCAGCGACGCCGCGUGAGUGACGAAGUAUUUCGGUAUGUAAAGCUCUAUCAGCAGGGAAGAAAAUGACGGUACCUGACUAAGAAGCCCCGGCUAACUACGUGCCAGCAGCCGCGGUAUACGUAGGGGCAGCGUUAUCCGGAUUUACUGGGUGUAAGGGAGCGCAGACGGAGAUCAAGUCUGAUGUGAAUGGUGGGGCUCACCCCGAAACUCGAUGGGAACUGUCUCCCUAAUUCGAGAGAAGAUAGGGAUCUCUAGGUGACGUUGUAUCGUGAAUAUAAGAGACCCGUGGCGAGGGCUUCUGUCUGUACAGCUUUAGUCACUGGACAGAUACUGUACCCAAUCUGGACGUCGCCCUCUCUCGUUCUUAUAAAGCAGAGAGAGCAACUAGAAAUAUUACGCA
rnacentral:rRNA from 1 species